rnacentral:rRNA from 1 species
UACAGAGGUCUCAAGCGUUGUUCGGAUUCAUUGGGCGUAAAGGGUGUGUAGGUGGCGCCGUAAGUCGGGUGUGAAAUUUCGGAGCUUAACUCCGAAACUGCAUUCGAUACUGCGGUGCUUGAGGACUGGAGAGGAGACUGGAAUUCAUGGUGUAGCAGUGAAAUGCGUAGAUAUCGGGAGGAACACCUGUGGCGAAAGCGGCGCACUGGACCACAACUGACGCUGAGGCGCGAAAGCUAGGGGAGCAAACAGG